rnacentral:lncRNA from 1 species
GGACUGAGAGACCUCAGACCAACAGAAGAUGGCUGUAUGGUUCCUAUUUGGGCCCCUCAGUGUGGCCCUGCAUCAGCCUCUUCUCUUUCUUUCCCCUCAGGAUCCCCAGCUGUGAAAGAUGCAAAUGGGAGCUGAACCCACACUGGGCAAGAGCCUGAUACCUGACCGCUUCCAACUCUGGAAACAAUUGGCAUCAUUGUAAUCCCAGAUUAUUCCUAAUUAUUCCUAACCUGCCCAGUGGAUCUGAACUCUGACUGCUGUGACCGUCUGUGACCCUGCCCAAGGAUUCGUCUGCCUCAGCUUCCCAAGGCUCAGAAGACCCACAGGAAGAAGAUGGUUGCUCUCUAGCCCUUUUCCAAGAAGCAGGAAACCUCUGCAUUCCUGGGACUCACGACUCUGUCUGGCAGAAGGCAGUGGGUGGCCAGACCUAAAGCAUCCAUCCUGCCUGCCCUUGGACACUGCAGGACAUGAAGCCACAUGAGACUCACCACUGCUGACCCCACAGGGAGACAGAGAGCUGGGGCAGGACAAUGCCCGAGGUGACCCCUACCCCACCUAAGGGGGCUGCGUGAAAGAACAAUGGGGAGGUGGACUCUAGGGGAAGGCACUUGUCCUCUGCGGCCCUUUUGACUUCCAGCACGCUUCUUUCAUACCCUACCCUCAGCUGUUAUUACAAAACACAUGAGCUUAGGGAGAAAGUCUUCACUAGAAUGCCAGCCUAAACCAACCCAAUCAGGCAGGUAAAACUUCUGGAAAAAAUAACAGUAGUGAUGUUUGGAUUCCAAGCGCUGUUUCUACCCCUCCCUACCUGGUAGGAUACAUGGAGAAAUGCAGAGCUCAGCUAAAACCAAGGUAGCAGGGUUGCCCACUUCAAAGUCAGCAUACCCCAGUAGGAGAGCCUGGGGUGAAAGGCUGCAGGCGGAUGGGCAUCCAGCUCCGAUAAGGCAGAGGAAGGGUAGGACUGUGUCUGGGGCCUGCUGACUGUUCCCUCACCCCAGAGGCCACAGGGAUAAUCUGCUCACAGAGCCCUCUGGCCUCAGACAUUUAGUUUCCACCCUAAGCCCCUCGGGUAGAGGACAAGGAGCCAGGCGCCAGCCUCAUCCAGAGCCAAGCAUGUGGCCAGGGGCCAGCGUAGGCCAACACCCUGAUGUCCGCAGCUCCAGCUGUUGCCCCUCUGCAGAGCUUUCACCGGAGGCAGCCCCUUCCACGCCAUCA